rnacentral:rRNA from 1 species
UACGUAGGGUGCGAGCGUUGUCCGGAAUUAUUGGGCGUAAAGGGCUCGUAGGCGGUCUGUCACGUCGGGAGUGAAAACUCAGGGCUUAACCCUGAGCCUGCUUCCGAUACGGGCAGACUAGAGGUAUGCAGGGGAGAACGGAAUUCCUGGUGUAGCGGUGAAAUGCGCAGAUAUCAGGAAGAACACCCGUGGCGAAGGCGGCUCUCUGGGACGGUACUGACGCUGAGACGCGAAAGCGUGGGGAGCGAACAGG